rnacentral:lncRNA from 1 species
UCUUCACUUCCUCUUCAACUUCUAGUGUUAAAGGUUAGGGUUUUCUAUGAUUGGACCUAGAAGGCCAAAUCGAAUCUUGGCUUCUCUAGGUAUGAAUGAAAAUAGUAACCAAGCCACAUUGUAGUAGAUGUGGAAGAUGAUACAAGUGUAUAGUGGUGGGGGUGUUAAUUGUGAUGAAGAUGUUACUUCCUUUGUUGAUAUUGAUGUUGAGCCAGAAAUUGAACCUAUAAUUGAGAGUGAUAUUGAUCUAACCAUUCAAAAGAUGCACAAGAUAACAUUGUAGAAAUUUCUUUCCAAGAUUGGAGGUAGUAUCUGAGGUUAAUAUCAUUUUCAAGCCUUGACAAUUUAGUUUUUUGCAGAGAGUGUACAUCCAUCUACAUCCAACACCUGAAUGCCCUUCAAAACCACACAUCUGACAGGUAACCUGUAACAUCAAAGUUUAGUGUUACCCCCCCUAUUUUCAAAAUAUAUUUAAUGUUACAUACAAAAUUACAGUCACAACUAAUCUGAAGAAAACAAUGGAUCAUGUUUACAAUAAAAUGAAAUUAAAGCAAUACAAAUUGAAUAUGGUUGAUUGAAAUGUUUUACCGUCAUUUUUUUCAGGAAAUGGAACAGAAAUUGAAGAGAUUUAAGUGGAGUAUGAAACUAGGGUUUUCUAGUGCAACCAAAUUGGAAGAUAAUGAGAAAGAAUAGAAGAAGACAAUCUUUUAAAGAGAAAGAAUGGAAGUUAAACUUGGUUUAUAUAGGUUUUAAGAGAAAUGACCGUUGUUGUUUGAUUUAGGUUGUUGUAGCUUACAUUAAUGGUGAAGUGAAGAAAACCAGAAAAAGAAAAAGAGGGAGGAAGAUAAGACUACAACAGUUAUAUCCACGUGUCGUUACACCAACGGUAAGAUGACUUCUAGAUUCGCAAAUCUAAUUUUUUUACAAUCAAAGGUUCUAAGUGAAACUACUUUUGCUUGCUGAUGUGGCUAAGUGGGUUUCUUCAAAACCAUCGUCGGAAAACUCUGACGUGGCAUAACGGUAGUUUAGGUACUUUGUAUAAUAAUUUUACUAGAAAUUGAAAUAGGGGUAACAACAAAUCUUUUUGAAAUGGGGUGGGGGGUUCAUCUAAUUACGCUUUUAAAACUGGGGGUAUCGCUAAAUAGCUCAAAAUAUAAUUCAUUAUGCCAUUAAUAUUGUGAAAAUUGGGUUACAGAUGUAGAGCUGAGCAGAAGUUGACGCGAAAGUGCCAGAAGAACUUUGCUUUGGAAAUUUGAUUUCUUUAUAUUGAUUGACUUUGUUCUAUUUGAAUUCUUGAAAUACACUGGCUAAUGCUUUUUCUUAUGGUACAAGGAAGACUUUACAUGAGAUUAAGAGGGAAACAUACUUAUGUAGGAUUUUAAAGAUACUUUUCCAGGAAGAAAAAAAAAUGCAUGGUGGAGGAAGUAAUGAUGAUUAGGUUUGACCGUUUGGGUAAAGACACUAAGAGCAUUUUCAAUGGUAAAAUGGUUUUAGAGGUGCCACGUAGGAAAGAGGGUAUAGGUUUUAGGAUUAAACUAUGCUAAAAGUGUUUUUUACUUUUAGAGUUGCCAAUGGUUGUUUUUGAAUGAAAGAUAAAAAUAAC